rnacentral:pre_miRNA from 1 species
AAAAUACUUGNCCCUCCGUCCGAAAAUACUUGUCAUUGAAAUGGAUGUAUCUAGAUGUAUUUUAGUUCUAGACACAUCCAUUUUGAUGACAAGUAAUUCCGGACGGAGGGAGUAUUAU